rnacentral:lncRNA from 1 species
AAAACAUAAGUUGAAUGAAAUGAUAUUUUCUGGCUUGAUCUUAGUGGUGUUUAUAACCACCAUUUUGCAUGUUUGCCUCAAAGUUUUUGGCACUUAUUCUCUUACCUCUCCCCUCCCCCUCCCAUUAAAUUCCUGAGAAAAAAUAUAAAAUGAUUAGUUCUUGGCUAAACAAAUGGCAAAGGUAAUUGUUAGAUUAAUAUGUUUUUAAUGAACCUUUUUUUUGGGGGGGGGUAUGAAAAUGGAGGAAAAAAAUAAAUUACUAUAUAGAGACCGCACCUUUAAAAAGUCAAGUUUCAUGAUAAAGCUGGUCUCCAAGCACCAGCCAGAAUGGAUGGAGUUUGAAUAGGAUUUAAAAACCCAACUGUGUGCAGAAAUUAGAGUUUUGCCCCUGAAUCAUAUGGAAUUACAGUGCUGGAUGCGUGCGCCGUGCCUACACAAUGAGGCCCAGAGGAAGCUGCUAUUUCUGUUGGUUUUAUUAAACCAACCAAGCAAUUUAAUUCCUUUGUUCGGGAGAGUUCUACUUCAUUGAUUAACAAAAGCAGGGAUAUAAUUUUUUCAGCCUUUUUGAAAAGCCUGAAAUGUCAAGCCUUUUAAAGCAGAUUAUUCUGCCUCUGUGCAGUGAAUACAGCCAGAGUAACCUUUUGUCUACAAUUAAAUAUUCUAGCAUAAAUAUAAAAGAAAAAUCAGAGAUGGGGAAGAUUGACUCACGAGAGAUUGGAGAGGUAGAUUCACACAGUGAUAGUGCAAGCAGCUUGCUUCUAAUUAAAUAUGCGACUGAGUCUCAAAGCAUUUUGCUUUCAGCCGCAGAGAGAAGAAGCUGCCCAAGAAUGGGAAGGAAGAAAUAUAUCACAUCAUCUGUCUGUCCGCAGGCUUUCCUUGGGGCUUAUGAAGGGCUAGUGGCUCAUUCAAGGAUAUUAUAA